rnacentral:lncRNA from 1 species
AGCUCUCAGUAUGUGUAAACUAUGACAUGCAGGCCAAUUCACCUAGAAAGGCCUAUUUUCAAAAGCUCAUGUCCUCUGAAUUGAGGAACCACAGAUCAGAUCAGCCUCUUCAACCCCCCGCGAGGCUCCCAUUCAUGUAAGACACCCAUGGCUUUGUAAUGGCACCCAACGCUCUGGGCUGGCAUGAAAAUUGUGUGACUCACAUCAUGUGCCUCCCCAAGAAGAGUUUCUUAGCAGGCAUUUUGGAGGAAAAGAUUUGGAUCAGAAAUUCAGAAAUUACCUGGGCUCACAAAUAUAUGCCCCUCCAGCACCAUCCUGCAUUCUGCUUCCAAGAUACAUGAGCUUUCUGAAGAGCUGGUGAGAAUGCUGAAACUUCCUGGCCUUGGUUUCCCAUCUGGUAAAAUGAGGAAGACCAAAGCUUAACUCUCACAAGGAAUAUGCAGAUGAGGAAACCGAAGCUCUUGGGGUAACACGACUUGUGAAACUGCAUGCUACUCCUCAGUGGCAGGGUGGGGACUCUGGACAGAGGAACUGGCAAGGUCUUCUAGACCUUUGACGUGCAUAAACUGGCAGGUUUACAGAAUAACGAGGAAAACAAAGUGAAACAAAAGACUGUACCCGUGUGCUAAGAAUUUAUUACCCGCACAUCAAAAAA